UCCGCCGGGUAGCCCGCCAGUGGGGCCGCCGCCUCGCGGAGGCGGUCCGUGCCGAAGAGUUCGCGGCCUCGGCGGCGUUCGGUCACGCCGUCGGUGUAG
rnacentral:tRNA from 1 species